CCAAUGGGGAUACCUGGAGAAGUUGCUCUCUCAGCUCUGUCCGUGUGGCAUGUGGGAGCACAGGCCUUUUGGUUCCAUGACAUAUAGUCCCUUUCCACACCAUUGGUGAGCAAGAUGGGCCACCUUAGGUCUGCAGCCUGCAUAUUCCUACUGCUUCUCUGAGCCUUUGGGCUGUGACUGAGGAGACAAACCAUGCAGGAGACAUUG